GAUGAACGCUGGCGGCGUGCCUAAUACAUGCAAGUCGAGCGAAUGGAUUAAGAGCUUGCUCUUAUGAAGUUAGCGGCGGACGGGUGAGUAACACGUGGGUAACCUGCCCAUAAGACUGGGAUAACUCCGGGAAACCGGGGCUAAUACCGGAUAAUAUUUUGAACUGCAUGGUUCAAAAUUGAAAGGCGGCUUCGGCUGUCACUUAUGGAUGGACCCGCGUCGCAGUAGCUAGUUGGUGAGGUAACGGCUCACCAAGGCAACGAUGCGUAGCCGGCCUGAGAGGGUGAUCGGCCACACUGGGACUGAGACACGGCCCAGACUCCUACGGGAGGCAGCAGUAGGGAAUCUUCCGCAAUGGACGAAAGUCUGACGGAGCAACGCCGCGUGAGUGAUGAAGGCUUUCGGGUCGUAAAACUCUGUUGUUAGGGAAGAACAAGUGCUAGUUGAAUAAGCUGGCACCUUGACGGUACCUAACCAGAAAGCCACGGCUAACUACGUGCCAGCAGCCGCGGUAA
rnacentral:rRNA from 1 species